ACUCCAGACUCCUACGGGAGGCAGCAGUGGGGAAUAUUGCACAAUGGGGGAAACCCUGAUGCAGCGACGCCGCGUGGAGGAAGAAGGUCUUCGGAUUGUAAACUCCUGUCCUUGGGGACGAUAAUGACGGUACCCAAGGAGGAAGCACCGGCUAACUCCGUGCCGGCAGCCGCGGUAAUACGGAGGGUGCAAGCGUUACUCGGAAUCACUGGGCGUAAAGAGUGCGUAGGCGGGGUAAUAAGUCAGAUGUGAAAUCCUGUAGCUUAACUACAGAACUGCAUUUGAAACUGUUACUCUGGAGUGUGGGAGAGGUAGGUGGAAUUCUUGGUGUAGGGGUAAAAUCCGUAGAGAUCAAGAGGAAUACUCAUUGCGAAGGCGACCUGCUGGAACAUUACUGACGCUGAUGCACGAAAGCGUGGGGAGCAAACAGGAUUAGAUACCCUCGUAUCC
rnacentral:rRNA from 1 species